rnacentral:rRNA from 1 species
UACAGAGGUGGCAAGCGUUGUUCGGAAUUACUGGGCGUAAAGGGCGCGUAGGCGGCCUUGUAAGUCCUGUGUGAAAUCCCCCGGCUCAACUGGGGAACUGCACAGGAGACUGCUUGGCUUGAGUUCGGGAGAGGGAAGCGGAAUUCCGGGUGUAGCGGUGAAAUGCGUAGAUAUCCGGAGGAACACCAGUGGCGAAGGCGGCUUCCUGGACCGACACUGACGCUGAGGCGCGAAAGCCAGGGGAGCAAACGGG